UACGGAGGGAGCUAGCGUUGUUCGGAAUUACUGGGCGUAAAGCGCACGUAGGCGGCUUUGUAAGUUAGGGGUGAAAGCCUGGAGCUCAACUUCAGAAUUGCCCUUAAGACUGCAUCGCUUGAAUCCAGGAGAGGUGAGUGGAAUUCCGAGUGUAGAGGUGAAAUUCGUAGAUAUUCGGAAGAACACCAGUGGCGAAGGCGGCUCACUGGCUCGAUACUGACGCUGAGGUGCGAAAGCG
rnacentral:rRNA from 1 species